UAAUUUAGUUUAAAUAAAAUAACAAUUUGUGGAAUUGUAGAUAUGAUAUCAAC
rnacentral:tRNA from 1 species